AUUCUUUAAUUUUAGAACGUAGUUCGACACUUCCUUUAGCUUCUUUUUUCUUUCCAAACAUUCGAUUCUGUUUUUUAGUGCUAGUUAUCGAACAAAAAUACAUUUUAUUUGUUCUACGAGAGUUCAUUACAUGCUUAUAAAUAUAAACAAAAACCAUUUCCUUUCAGACGAGAAUUACUAUGGCGACCAUUUUGAAACUAAUAAAACUGUAUCGAAUAUUGGGUUUAUUUAUUUUUUAGUGUAGUAUUCAAUGCAAUUAUCUUAUGCAGCUGUGUUUAUGGUUAAAUGUUUGUUGUUAUACUGUUGCUGGGUUUUACGGAAAAAUGGCGUUUAAGAGGUCAAGGCACCAUCAAGAAUCAAAGAGGCGUGAAUUGUGGAGAAUUUAACAAGCUGUUUAGAAUACUAUGGCAACUGGAAAUACAACAAUAGUAUUUUUAGAAAUCUACAGAUGGCAACAGCCUUACUUGCUUCUUUUAAGAAUUCAAAAACAUCGAGAAUUGUAAAUUAUCGCUUGAUCGUUUAUUAAUUUUUGAAAAUUUGAACUAUAUUUUCUUUUUUUUCUUGCUUAUGGAAAUUUAUUUUAACCGUGUAGGGGAUUGGGGAGGGGGUUAGUAUGGAUAUUUUUUACAAAAUUGUGAAAAAAAUACAUAAUUUUUAACUCGA